rnacentral:ncRNA from 1 species
CGCUUGCUACCGUGGAGGCCCCCGACGAGACGCGCCGUACCGGGACAGGGACCGUCAGGCCCGUACGCAAAGACGACGCACC